rnacentral:lncRNA from 1 species
ACUGGCGGCAGCGCUGACCCCGACGAGGAGCCCAUCCUGCACCUCCUCUAGGAACUAGCAGUAAGCCGUUGAUUCUCCUCUGGCCCUUCGUAUCUACAUUCAGUUAAAUAUUUGAUGAAGAUUCGAAGAGGUUCUGAUUGUGUUGAUUUGUUGCUAGGAUAGCUUGGUGCUCCCACAAGUAAUUUGGGCUUCUGUCUUGAUGUAAGCAGUCACUAUCCCCUUCUCAGCUUCGAUUGAAACUCACCUGGUUGCUAAGAUUAUUUGGGUUGUCAUCAGUUAAUAAAAACGGUUACCUUUAACAAUAGAAGUAAAGGAAAACGUAAAUGGUUAAUGUAGACACUUGUGUACGUAGAUUGUUUCAAACAGAAUAGGCAAGCAGCAUUGUGAUGACCCCAAAGGAUAGUUAAGUAAUGCGUGAGUUUCCUUUGCAUUUACUGUCCUAACACCCAUGAAAUUCACUUUAUGAAAUGUAACCAAGCUUUAUGAUUUUCAGCACAAGAAUCCAUCAGAAUUCAAUAGCCGAUAGUCAUGCUGACAUGAUGGAUCGGGACGAACCAUUUGAUCCCAUAUUUAGCUGACCUAUGGGCAACCCAUUUGGUAUUUUGGAGCCAAAUUUUGUUGAGAGAGCCGCUGCUGGUUUCUUUGGUUGGGGACCUCAGGUUACACAUUGCAGGGAUGUGCGGCAGCUACCUAUCACACUAAUAAUCCUCAAACUGGAAGGUCUGGUCAGUGCAGGGUGUUAUCACCUCAUGCCACUGUCCAUUGUACUUUUAGUUCAGCUUUCACUUCUAUACUCAAUUUUUUGUAUACAUAGACUGCUUAUUGUGUUGUCUUUUAUUAUAACUAGUCAUCAACCCGUGCACCUGCACGGGCUAGCGACCUUGAGUCAAAAACUUGGUAUUUCAUAUACUUUGAAAAAAUAAUGAACAUCACAAAUCUGAUAUAUGUCCAGAAGCACAAUCACUUUUUCAGCCUUUGAAUCAACGCACAACCAUAAUCAUUGGCAAUGUACAAAUCUGAUAUAUGUCCAGUACAAAGUGAAGAAAUAAUCCCUAAGUCGUGGUGGUAAUACGCAAAAGUGCCAAAAAAAAUUGAGCUUGUAAAAUUAUUGGAGAAACUGAUACAUUAUUGAAAAACAGAAAAGUACAAAUUAAACUGAUACAUUAUAUAUGUUUGUGAGUGUACAUUCUUUAGUCAAUAUAGAAAUUCUUAUUCCUUGGUAAAUGAUCAGAAGUGUCGAGAAGAAUUAGGCUGUUAUAAAAAGAAUUAAAUUAUGUGCUAUUUUAGUCUUCGAGUUUUUUUCAAGGGUUCUAUACGAAUACUGUCUUGUUUUCAUAGUUCGAAUAAACACUAACUGUUUUGCAAUAAAAAAUUAGAAAACGUUUACCUAUUACGUAUCACUUGUAUGCAUGCAUGCAUUCUCUACUAUGACCGAUUUCUAUUCUCAUAUACGUACAGAUUCGCUCGCUGGUAAAUCUGCAAGUCAUGCCAAUUUGAUUAAUCAAUUAAGACGUGUCUAAUUAAAAAAAUCAUUGAGAUGUGCAGCUAGAAAAGCUACUCGGACGUGUUUUUAUAAUGAAACCUAGAGGAGACGUGUUGGUACGGGCUUUGUUUUUCCCUUGAUGGCAUGCGUGUUUACUUUGGAAACUGCAAGUUAAUUUUUUUUAUUGUAAUCUCGACUUAUUGGAACUUUGUACUAACGGUGACUAUGGCUCUUGUUUUUUGAGGGACUAUGGCUCUCUUUUUUCAUAGCGUGAAGCAUGAGGGCUCCUUUUUUUACCUGAUUUACCUUUUUAUAAUAAGACAGGGUCUAUUCUGUAUUUUUUUGCUGGAUUCUAUCCUCUAUGGGGACGUGUUAGAAUGGGCCUUUUUUAUUGCCUUUGUUCAUGGCCAGAUGGAACGUGUCUAUUUUUGAAACUGUGCAAGGACACGUUUAUUUGUACCGUAAUCUCAUAGGACUAUUAGUAUAGAUCUUUUCUUAUCCUAGCCGUAUAUUUAACGAUCUUACGGUUAUUAUUGUUGUUUCUCUAGAUUAACGUGAAGCCUCGUAUGGUGCCUCCAAUUAGUAAAUAUAAGAUUUUCUGCAAUAGAAAUGCUUGCCAUAAAUGAUAAUGUACAUCUGCUCUUUUCUAAGAAUGAAGUCUGUAACCCUCCUUUGGAUAAAUGCCUAUGAACAAGCCAGUUUUAUAUACCGACCUGUCCCCAUGAACAAGUCAGUUGGUAGUUGUUUCUUCAAAUAGCACCCGUUUUGUACUCUAAUCAUGUGAAUUACUCCUAUUCAUGAACAAGAGAGUAUCUGCUCAUAAUAGAGAUCUGCCUCCCCGUGACGAGGAGUUCAUUAUUUAAAUAGUUGUCCAUGCCAUUUUCAAUAAGCAUAAGCAUUACAUAAAUAUUCAUUUUGACCAUAGGGCAAAAACAGAGGAAAUUGAUUAUAUUCCCGUUUUUCUUAGGACCAGGAGCAGCUGCAGGCUAUCACGGAACCAGUUCUUUCAUUUGUUCUGCAAUGCAGUAGGCACACUCCACAAUCUCAGUUCCUAAUCUUUGUUAUGCGCUGAGAGGAGGGAAGAAGGACAUUGCGGUCGCAGCCCUAUCGGCACCCUUCUCACCUGAUUCACCCGCAUCACGCCAUGCAGGUGAUCUUCUCUAUUGAUAUAUUAAGAAUAUUGACUGCAUUUCUUCUCUAUGUUUCCGAACAUUGUAUAUAUUCUGUGCAGAUGAUGAAGUUUUUAAACUUCUAUCUCCUGUAGCAAUAGUCUCUUUUGUUCUUGCAAAAAUAGGCAACAGUGUAUAUGAUUGGGCAUAAUCUGCAUACUGAGCACAUCGUGUGACCCUUAAUUAUCUAAUGAUCAUGUAUUACAAACAGAGAGAGAGAAAAUAUUACAGGUUAAUACUCGGGUUAACUUUCUCAACAUUACUGAUUCGAAUUGGUUUAUGAAGUAAAUUCAUUGUUCCUCUACCUCCGCCACUUGGUCUUGCAUUCAUGGGAAAACUUCAUAUGGGUUCUGGCUACAAUAAGUUCUAUUUCUAUGGGUACUGGAGUAACAUUGGUUGAUGGUCACAAAAUGAAAAUGUAUGCACAAGUGUCCCUCCUCCUCCAAGUCUGUAGUUUGAUACAAUACAAGUCUGCAAGUGCUCUGAAAUUCUGUUUUUAUACCCUGUAUAUAUGGUGCCUAAGUUACAGUAAGUUAGUGGUUAACUGAGCUACUGAAGAUUGUACUGAAGAUGCAUGAGUAACAGUAAUCUAUUGUUGUUUUGGAGGUGUUGAUUGCCAUUGUGCAAUUUGAUUCCGUUUUAAAAUAAUGCACAUCUUGGUUUGGUUCAGUUUGAACGUGUGCAAUCAAAUUGAUUUGAAGUAGAGCUGGAUCCACGGUGAGAAAUGGAUUUAUAAUAGAGCUGGAUCCAUUGUUCUGAGUUUCUUAUGCAGUAGGGUUGGAUCUUUAGACUCACAACAUUUCUUUUGCUCUGAUUCAGGUUCGUUUUUGUGUAUUGCUCUUUACUGUCAAGUCUGGAGUUGGUGGUUCUUGAGUGAGCUGCGGAAGCUACUACCGUCUGUUAUCUGCUCCAUCUGUGCGCCGACGAACAAGUUAAUUAGGUGGCUUGGUGUGUGCUUGUCGACCGCCAUGGCCGACAACUCAUCGUCCUCGACAUUACAUUCCUUUGCACAUGUGUUUGGCCAUCUUUUGGUGCAUGCGAUGGUCUUGUGGACUGCUGUGUUUGUUGUUUGUGAUUCAAGCCAUCACUAGCUACUGUGAUAUGUUGUGCAAACUACUGUCAUCUCUAAGAAUUAUGUAACAUUCUUUAUGUUGACUACAUAUUAGUUACACUGAUGCACUUUUGGUUCUGGAGCUUUAGCAGAACUAUAUGGUUUGCUUUUGCUAUCUAAUAACCCAACUAUAGUACUUGCUGAGGACCCAUCAUCUUGGCUUAAUUCUGCAACCAAUUAUAUAUCUGUAUUUCCAAUUUGGCAUGAACUUCCACAUCAACUGUUCUAUUUUGCAUCCUGCUUGCUUUGCUUUUGUUAUAUCCAAUUUUACUGCCCCUUUGUAUUGCUUUGAGAAAAUGUUCCAGGC